GCUGACGAGUGGCGGACGGGUGAGUAAUGUCUGGGAAACUGCCUGAUGGAGGGGGAUAACUACUGGAAACGGUAGCUAAUACCGCAUAACGUCGCAAGACCAAAGAGGGGGACCCUCGGGCCUCUUGCCAUCGGAUGUGCCCAGAUGGGAUUAGCUUGUUGGUGGGGUAACGGCUCACCAAGGCGACGAUCCCUAGCUGGUCUGAGAGGAUGACCAGCCACACUGGAACUGAGACACGGUCCAGACUCCUACGGGAGGCAGCAGUGGGGAAUAUUGCACAAUGGGCGCAAGCCUGAUGCAGCCAUGC
rnacentral:rRNA from 1 species